ensembl:snoRNA
AGCACUUGUAUGUUUUAACAUGUGGACAUUUAUAGACAGGUUCAAAAAGUCCUCUUGCAACCCAGAACUCGUUGUUCAGUAUGAGUCUUGAUACGUGUAAGAAGGGAUUUG